rnacentral:lncRNA from 1 species
CUGCAUGAAGAUUAUUCUGUUCACUGUUAAGUGCUUCUGUGGCCAUUGCAACAUGCUGGAGAGGAGUCCUGGGCUCUUGGGAGACGGCUGCUACUACCAGCCUGAAAGAAAGUGUCUGAUUUUCCCUUCCCUCGAGAGAAAAGGAAAUGACUGCAAUUUUGCAGCUAUAAUGAAGACAGGAAAGAAAAAACAUGUUCACUGUCUGUGUGGUUAUCGAACAAAGAAGUAUGAGGACAUAUGGUGGCAGAGUGUGAAACAGUAUAUUACAAGCCUCCAGAUAAAAGCACUUAAAGAAAGGUUCCUUCUGCACAGCGACUUGCUGCUCCUGGGGCUGUCGCAGUAUGCCACUUCUUGUUUUUGGAACAUCUUCUCCAGCUGUUCAUGGCAAGAGUCUUCCCCUGGUGCUGCUGCUGGUUCAGUCUUUGUUGGAAUGACUGAAAUGUGUAUGCUCUUGGAAAAACAUGUGUAGUGAUGGUCCAGGCAGUCCCUUGGUGGCAGCUUGAGGGAAAUAAAAAAAAAAAGAAAAGGAGGACA